rnacentral:rRNA from 1 species
GACGAACGCUGGCGGCGUGCUUAACACAUGCAAGUCGAACGGAAAGGCCCUGCUUUUGUGGGGUGCUCGAGUGGCGAACUGGUGAGUAACACGUGAGUAACCUGCCCUUGACUUUGGGAUAACUUCAGGAAACUGGGGCUAAUACCGGAUAGGAGCUCCUGCUGCAUGGUGGGGGUUGGAAAGUUUCGGCGGUUGGGGAUGGACUCGCGGCUUAUCAGCUUGUUGGUGGGGUAGUGGCUUACCAAGGCUUUGACGGGUAGCCGGCCUGAGAGGGUGACCGGCCACAGUGGGACUGAGAUGAGGCCCAGACUCCUACGGGAGGCAGAAGUGGGGAAUAAUGCAAAAUGGGCGGAAGCCUGAUGCAGCAACGCCGCGUGCGGGAUGACGGCCUUCGGGUUGUAAACAGCUUUCGACUGUGACGAAGCGUGAGUGACGGUAAUGGGUAAAGAAGCACCGGCUAACUACGUG